GAUGAACGCUGGCGGCGUGCCUAAUACAUGCAAGUCGAGCGAACAGAUGAGGAGCUUGCUCCUCUGACGUUAGCGGCGGACGGGUGAGUAACACGUGGAUAACCUACCUAUAAGACUGGGAUAACUUCGGGAAACCGGAUCUAAUACCGGAUAAUAUAUUGAACCGCAUGGUUCAAUAGUGAAAGACGGUUUUGCUGUCACUUAUAGAUGGAUCCGCGCCGCAUUAGCUAGUUGGUAAGGUCACGGCUUACCAAGGCAACGAUGCGUAGCCGACCUGAGAGGGUGAUCGGCCACACUGGAACUGAGACACGGUCCAGACUCCUACGGGAGGCAGCAGUAGGGAAUCUUCCGCAAUGGGCGAAAGCCUGACGGAGCAACGCCGCGUGAGUGAUGAAGGUCUUCGGAUCGUAAAACUCUGUUAUUAGGGAAGAACAAAUGUGUAAGUAACUAUGCACGUCUUGACGGUACCUAAUCAGAAAGCCACGGCUAACUACGUG
rnacentral:rRNA from 1 species